UUUAAGUGCAACCAUAAGUUUUCGUGCUCAACUUUAAUCGUUCGUCUUAUUUGAAAAUAUUUUAUAAUUAGUAUUUUUGUUAUUAUGAGAUGACAAAACAUGAAUAGUAUUUUAUGCGUGACUUAUUUUUUAAAUAUUUUUAAAAAUAUUCAAAUAAGACGGACGAUCAAAGUUAAGCACAUAAAAGCAUGGCCGCACUUAAA
rfam:Oryza nivara chromosome 3, whole genome shotgun sequence.